AGAGUUUGAUCAUGGCUCAGGAUGAACGCUAGCUACAGGCUUAACACAUGCAAGUCGAGGGGGAAACGACAUCGAAAAGCUUGCUUUUGAUGGGCGUCGACCGGCGCACGGGUGAGUAACGCGUAUCCAACCUGCCCACCACUUGGGGGAUAACCUUGCGAAAGUAAGACUAAUACCCCAAUGAUAUCUCUAGAAGACAUCUGAAAGAGAUUAAAGAUUUAUCGGUGAUGGAUGGGGAUGCGUCUGAUUAGCUUGUUGGCGGGGUAACGGCCCACCAAGGCGACGAUCAGUAGGGGGUUCUGAGAGGAACGGUCCCCCACAUUGGAACUGAGACACGGUCCAAACUCCUACGGGAGGCAGCA
rnacentral:rRNA from 1 species